UACGUAGGGUGCAAGCGUUUGUCCGGAAUUAUUGGGCGUAAAGAGCUCGUAGGUGGUUUGUCGCGUUGUUCGUGAAAACUCACAGCUCAACUGUGGGCGUGCGGGCGAUACGGGCAGACUAGAGUACUGCAGGGGGAGACUGGAAUUCCUGGUGUAGCGGUGGAAUGCGCAGAUAUCAGGAGGAACACCGGUGGCGAAGGCGGCCCACUGGCUCGAUACUGACGCUGAGGUGCGAAAGCGUGGGGGAGCAAACAGG
rnacentral:rRNA from 1 species